ensembl:lncRNA
AUGAAAGGAACCGCCAAAAGCCAGGUGUUGACAUCAGGGAGACUGACAGGAGGAGUCAGAGGACAGAUCUACAGGAGACGAGGGACUCCUGAUCCAGGAGCGGCCGCCUGUCCUGAACCGGCCUACUCUCUGUACUCCACAUCCACAGAGUCUGAAGAACAGGUCUCUUCUCUCCACAAGGGUCUGGACCGCUGUGCUGCCUUGAUCACUAACAUCCUCCAGGUGGAGAAGGCAGACCCCCCCAUGGCAGCGAAGGGUGGAUCACCAUGUAGCUCAAUCAGGAAGAGAACUAUCAAAAACACAAAGAAAGGCAGUGUAGCAGAGAGGCUGCUCACUCAUCUGGAGCAGACCGUGUCUUCACCAAUGAUGGAUGCUGGGAGUUCAAACAUAUGGACCGAACCAGAACGAGUGUCCCUUCACAGCCAGAACAAUCUGCUCCGCAGGCGAGUGCGGUUUCUUAACCAGCAGUUGAAGCAGAGGGAGAGAGCAGAGUCUCAUCAGAACCAGGAGAUGUUGUAUAACCCAGAAGUGUGGACUUUGCAGGAGGAGCUCAGCACUGCUCAGUCACAACUGCAAGAAGUCCAGGACGACCUCACAGAGCUACGGAAAGCCCUGGAGGAAACACAGAGCCAGCUGACAGACCGAGAGGCAGAGAAGGCCCUCAUCCAGACAGAAUUGGAGGCCACCCGAAGCAGGUUGCUGGACAGUGAGCGAGAGAGGAGUGAGUUGGCUUCACUUGCCCAGCACAGACUGGAAGACAUAGGAAACCUAAACAGGAUUCUCCAGGAUCCCCCUUCAUCUUCGCUGUCAGACACCAGACACCUCUUCAACCAGCGCAGGCCAGAAUAUGAUCGCGUCCCCCAAUACCUGAUGUCUCUGGGCCAGCUGGAGCCCACCCCCUCUGAGCAUGUGUCUGCCGAGAGAGAAGGAAUCCCAGCACCACACCGUGAGGGAGGAGGCCGAGCGGCUCAUGCAACCCUCCCUUUUCAGAGCUGCCAUGAGGACCAAUCACAUGGUUCUGAUGGGAAGCAGCAGCAGGCCCCGUCCCGCUGCGAUGUGGAGUCACUGUAUUCUGACUGUAGCUCCAGCUCGGGCUCCACCUUCAACACCAAAGACGAGGUGGCGUUUCGAGCCGGCCUGGAGGCUCUGGAUGCCAGCAUAGCUAGUCUGCAGAGGACUAUUCAGCUGGACACGAGGAGGUGA